CGGGGCGUAGCGCAGCCUGGUAGCGCAUCUGCUUUGGGAGCAGAGGGUCGUUGGUUCAAAUCCAGCCGCCCCGACCA
rnacentral:tRNA from 2 species